AUUGAACGCUGGCGGCAUGCCUUACACAUGCAAGUCGAACGGCAGCACGGGAGCAAUCCUGGUGGCGAGUGGCGAACGGGUGAGUAAAGUAUCGGAACGUGCCCAGUCGUGGGGGAUAACGUAGCGAAAGUUACGCUAAUACCGCAUACGAUCUAUGGAUGAAAGCGGGGGAUCGCAAGACCUCGCGCGCUUGGACCGGCCGAUAUCAGAUUAGGUAGUUGGUGGGGUAACGGCUCACCAAGCCGACGAUCUGUAGCUGGUCUGAGAGGACGACCAGCCACACUGGGACUGAGACACGGCCCAGACUCCUACGGGAGGCAGCAGUGGGGAAUUUUGGACAAUGGGCGAAAGCCUGAUCCAGCCAUGCCGCGUGCAGGAUGAAGGCCUUCGGGUUGUAAACUGCUUUUGUACGGAACGAAAAGGUUUGGCCUAAUAAGCUGAGCUCAUGACGGUACCGUAAGAAUAAGCACCGGCUAACUACGUGCCAGCAGCCGCCGUAA
rnacentral:rRNA from 1 species